GAUGAACGCUGGCGGCGUGCCUAAUACAUGCAAGUCGAGCGAACAGACGAGGAGCUUGCUCCUUUGAUGUUAGCGGCGGACGGGUGAGUAACACGUAGGUAACCUACCUAUAAGACUGGGAUAACUUCGGGAAACCGGAGCUAAUACCGGAUAAUAUUUCGAACCGCAUGGUUCGAUAGUGAAAGAUGGCUUUGCUAUCACUUAUAGAUGGACCUGCUCCGUAUUAGCUAGUUGGUAAGGUAACGGCUUACCAAGGCAACGAUACGUAGCCGACCUGAGAGGGUGAUCGGCCACACUGGAACUGAGACACGGUCCAGACUCCUACGGGAGGCAGCAGUAGGGAAUCUUCCGCAAUGGGCGAAAGCCUGACGGAGCAACGCCGCGUGAGUGAUGAAGGUCUUCGGAUCGUAAAACUCUGUUAUUAGGGAAGAACAAACGUGUAAGUAACUGUGCACGUCUUGACGGUACCUAAUCAGAAAGCCACGGCUAACUACGUG
rnacentral:rRNA from 1 species